UUUCACAGCUACCAGGGUUUUAAAGCUACUUAUUUUCAAUGCUACCACAGGACUGGGACUUGGGGAAUGGAAAUAUGAUCCCGUAGGCCCAUACUUGCACCAACUUAUGUCUGGUGCAACAAUGACACCAACGAUGUCUCCUGCUUACAACAACAAAAAUUUCUUUCUCAUCAUGCUGCAUGUCCAUCAAAGGUCGUCUUCUCUCGAGGCAGUCUCUAACUGGAAUGUUGGCACCGGUUGCAUUUCAUUGGGUAAAGCUAUACAUUUGUCAGGUCUCCAGGACUUUGAUUAACAGUGGGAGUAACAGAGCAAUCACUGUCUUAGUAACAACUUCAAAGGGAAGAUGCAUCAAGUUGAGGAAGACAUUGAUACAGGCUUUCUUCAGAGUCCUUAUCAAAGGGAGGUAGUAGGACACAUGCGGAGCCAAUCAGAGCCCUUACAUGGGACUUUGGGGAUUCAGAGAGAGCAGCAUCUGCUGGUGGUAGAAGCUUGAAAACAUGAAAUUCACAAGCUGUCAGUGGCCAUGUCAAUUUCCAUUCAGGAGAGACCCGCCUAUAGCUGGAGAAAAUGGAGUUAACUCAGGGGUAGGUAAAGAAGAGAAAAGAGAAUCCUGGUGGUGACUGACAUUCAACUCAAUUCCUUCCCUUACC
rnacentral:lncRNA from 1 species